CCUACGGGGUGCAGCAGUGGGGAAUAUUGCACAAUGGGGGAAACCCUGAUGCAGCGACGCCGCGUGAGUGAAGAAGUAAUUCGUUAUGUAAAGCUCUAUCAGCAGGGAAGAAAAUGACGGUACCUGAGUAAGAAGCCCCGGCUAACUACGUGCCAGCAGCCGCGGUAAUACGUAGGGGGCAAGCGUUAUCCGGAUUUACUGGGUGGAAAGGGAGCGUAGACGGCAGUGCAAGUCUGGAGUGAAAGGCGGGGGCUCAACCCCCGGACUGCUCUGGAAACUGUACGGCUGGAGUGCAGGAGAGGUAAGUGGAAUUCCUAGUGUAGCGGUGAAAUGCGUAGAUAUUAGGAGGAACACCAGUGGCGAAGGCGGCUUACUGGACUGUAACUGACGUUGAGGCUCGAAAGCGUGGGGAGCAAACAGGAUUAGAUACCCUAGUAGUC
rnacentral:rRNA from 1 species